rnacentral:rRNA from 1 species
UACGUAGGGGGCAAGCGUGUCCGGAUUUAUUGGGCGUAAAGAGCGUGUAGGCGGCCAAACAGGUCCACUGUGAAAACUCGAGGCUCAACCUCGAGAGGUCGGUGGAAACCGUCUGGCUAGAGUCCGGAAGAGGAGAGUGGAAUUCCCGGUGUGAGCGGUGAAAUGCGCAGAUAUCGGGAAGAACACCCGUGGCGAAGGCGGCUCUCUGGGACGGUACUGACGCUGAGACGGCGGAAAAGCGUUGGGGAGCCGAACGAGGGAUU